GCCUGCGAGACGGAGAAGGAAGGUCUGCUCUUGCAGAUCCGGAGCCUGGAAGACAAACUCCAGGAGACGAUGCCAGAGACCCAGCGCCUGACCCAGAGAAGGAGGAGCUCAAGUUAACCGUCGAGAAGCUGAGAGACCUCAGUGAGCAGUUUAAGACCGAGCUUCUCAGCUUGAGGGGGAGGUCGCCAAGCAUAAGGAGCGCAUAGAUCAGCUUAUCAAGAAUGUGAGGCCCGCUGACUGCGCUGAUGUUCAAAUACAGGGACAUACAGAGAGCGGUGUCUAUACUUUGUACCCUGACAGAACACUAGAGACCAAAGACGUGUACUGUGACCUUGAAACGGAGGAAGGAGGUUGGACCGUCUUCCUGAAACGCCAACUGCAGCCGGAACCCGUCGACUUCAACGAGUCUUGGGAGAACUUCAAGAACGGAUUCGGCAGCGCCGCUGGCGCCGAGUAUUGGCUCGGAAAUGACGUCAUCCACUCGCUGACGUCACAAGGUCCUUCCACAUGCGAGUCGAAGCCGAGAGCUUUGCGGGAGAGAAGCGUUGGGCCGAGUGGAACUGUUUAACGUGGCCGAUGAAGCGAACAGUGUACGACUCUUAGGG